rnacentral:misc_RNA from 1 species
UCUCCGUUGGUGAACCAGCGGAGGGAUCAUUACAGGACUCGCAAGACUCCUACAACCCUGUGAACUUAACUAUAAGCACGUUGCUUCGGCGGGUGUCUCGGAGGGGGUUCUCCCUCCGCGAGACGCUAAACCCGCCGGCAGCCUACUAUACUCUGUCUCUUUGCGUUGGCAUCUCGAGUACAAUCAAACAAGUUAAAACUUUCAACAACGGAUCUCUUGGUUCUG